rnacentral:rRNA from 1 species
AACGAACGCUGGCGGCGCGUCUUAAACAUGCAAGUCGAACGGUAAGGAAGGAGCUUGCUCCUUUCUGAGAGUGGCGGACUGGUGAGUAACACGUGGGUGACAUACCUUUUAGAUGGGGAUAGCUAUUAGAAAUAGUAGGUAAUACCGAAUGUGACCGUAUCUGUUAGAGGGAUACGAGGAAAGGAGCUAAGGCUUCGCUAAAAGAAUGGCCCGCGGCCCAUUAUGCUCGUUGGUGAGGUAACGGCCCACCAAGGCGAUGAUGGGUAUCCGGCCUGAGAGGGUGGACGGACACAUUGGGACUGAGAUACAGCCCAGACUUCUACGGGAGGCAGCAGUUAAGAAUAUUCCGCAAUGGACGAAAGUCUGACGGAGCGACGCCGCGUGGAUGAAGAAUGCCGAAAGGUUGUAAAAUCCUUUUAAGCCUGAGGAAUAAGCACAGUAGGGAAUGAUUGUGUGGUGACUGUAGGGCUUGAAUAAGCACCGGCAAAUUACGUGC